rnacentral:ncRNA from 1 species
AUUGUUGUCAUAGCAAUUUUGGUGGAGGAACACCAGGUUUAGACACUUGGUAUAUGUGCUUGGCUAAGAAGCCAAUGGGGUGAAGAUACCAUCUGUGUGAAUAUGACUGAAGCCUCUGAGUCAGAAUCACCCCAAAUGUGCUGAUCUAAUAUACUUUCUUUUUAUAUUUUAAUUGAUAUUUUUAUAUCACCUUAAUUUCUAAAUAUAUCCUUCUUCCCUUCUCUGAGAAUCAUCCCAGGAUUAUGAGCUAGAAGGAACCCUAAGAGGCAGUAUAAACCAACCUCCCACUUGAUUGACAGAUAAGGAAACUGAGGCUACAUAAGUAAAAAAAUGCCAGUGGCAGGAUUUGAAUCC